rnacentral:lncRNA from 1 species
GAAUCGCAAAGAUCAGCUUCAAGAAUGACAGGACUGGAGCCAUUAGCAAGCUCAUCCAGCAGUAAUCAUCCGUCAGAGACUGUCAGCCCAGGGGUGUGUUUGCUCAGCAAUGGAUGAAGCUGGCAGUGACUCCACCAGGCUGAGUAGUUGCAACACUCAGUGGGAGACCAUCUUCUCCUCAACCAGUGCUAGGUGAGAAGCAGUUCGACCUGGUUUGUAAUUUGGAAUAUCUCUCAUGUGGUCAUUGAGAUGAAGAGUUGAUGGACAGUCUCCAGGGAACUGCAACACCAAUUUGGAUUUGGUAUUUCCUACCGAGAGCACAGGCAGUGCCAACACCGCAGAAGAGAACGAGGAGUAAGGGCUCCAGCUGCUCCUCCACUGCUCGUCAGCUUCUGCAGGCCUCACCUCUGUGAGGCAGCCUGGUGGUACCGGGCAGUGUUCGAACUGGUCAAAAUGUGGUGAGAAACAGACAAUUUCAUUCUCCUCGCUCAAAGCUGGGAUAGCCUCCAGAUUAAAUUCCACCUCCUGGUAACUCCUACUGGAUGUAUCUUCUACCAAAGGCCUGUGGAAAGGACCUGAACCAGAGGAGGUUUGGCCCUUCGCAUCUGUGGUGCAGAAUCCAGCGGUGCAUUAUUCUGAUUAGAAGGUCUAAAACAGUGAAUAGAGCAUAUAAAACUGUCUACUGUGUUUCAUCAUACAUAAUUCGCUGCAGCAACCUACAGCCAUCCAAGCUGCUUCAGCCUCCCUCUCACAACCCACUGGUGCCCUGAGAGAUGCUGUCCCAGCAGAGGGGUNNNNNNNNNNUCACAACCCUGAGAGAUGCUGUCCCAGCAGAGGGGUCCCUGCGUCACCAGCACCUCAGCACUGACAGAGCAGUGUGAUGCCUUCAGAGCAUUCAGCGGGUCCCUCACCUUUUACUGGGCAUCUGAAACUGCCGUGGGGAGAGGCAGGAGGCACCCCGGGGCCUGGCUGUCCCCACAGAGAGUGCGUGACCACCUCUGGGGAAAGAACUUCGGGAGCGCCCAGGCUGCGCAGCAGGAAAACAAUGAGCAGGAGAAAACCUGGAAGCUUUUUGCUGCACUGUUGAAUAUGGAAAUAUAAAAACGUUUGUACCUGGAGCAUCUCUGUCCCUCUUUCCAAUGGGUGACUUCUGAAGCUGGAACUACCCCGCUACCUGCAGCAGCCACUUCUUUCACU